CCUGCUGGGGUUUUGGGUUUUCUCUGGAAAAUAUAUCUAUCUAAUACUUAUAAAUAAGGAUCGGUACGGAUGCCUACCUGAUCUUACCAUUUUGCCCUCAUUUUCCACCCCUUAUUACUCCAAUCGAAGCAGCGCAGUGAAUCGUUCCUCCAUCCUCCAUCGCCGCCCUCUAAUUCUGCCUUCCCAACACCGUCAUGAGGGCUGCUUUCUGUCUUUCCUUUCCUUCGUGCGCCUGCAAAACUUGAUAAGAAUGGGGCUUACUCUGCUUCAGGAAUCAAAGAUAUAUUCAAGGAUUCAACAUCAAGCGCACGACUAUAGAGAAACUGAAAAAAGAUAUCAAAGAUGAUAUUAUGUCACUUUUAGAAAAGAAUGAAUGCAAAGAAGGGUAUUUACCUCAACAAUCUUAGCAUGUCUGGUGCCGUAGCUGCAGCUCUGGAGUUCAUCACCAUAUGUAUCUCUUGAUUGGAUUUUAUCUCAUGGUUUAAGCAUAAGUUCUUCCAGCUUUUAUUUUUCUGUACCCUGAACCUAGCUCCCAUCACCAUGCCAGUUGGUGUGUCAUAAUAUAUGUCUUCAGCGGUUAUGGGAGCCUUUCCGGAAACCUGCAAAAUUAUAGAGUUAGCAGAGAGUUAUGAUUCUUGUGAGUCGAAAAUAACUGGAGAUUCUACAAAUCAACGUACAGGGAGGGCUUGGAAGAAGCAUAGAAUUGAGGAGGAUAUUAACAAAGGGGAAGAGAGGAAACUGGCUCAAGGAUCUCCAAUACGGUGUAUUCGGUCUAGGUAACAGGCAAUACAAAGAUUUCAAUAAGUCUUUAUGGGUUUUGAAGCUGUGACUUCUGUGCAAUAUAUAAAGGCCAAAGCUUUGCAGCUAUUCGCUGUUGAAGGAAUAAGAUCAAAGUGUUCUCGUUCAAGUGUUGAGUGUGUGUAGAGGGAAUGUGGAGCUUGGGGAAAAUCUUUCUUUGGUGGAUUUAGAGCUACACCCUAAUGCUGGAAUGGGUCAGCUAUGCUGAAAAGACAGUUUCAUUGCUUUAGUGAUGAAUCUGUAUGUACCUUGUGGUAUUUAGGUGUGCGAAUAUGGGUGAGAGUGAGAGUAUGAGUAGUGACUUUCUUUCUGAUGGAUAGAAAGAAAAAAAGGUAGUUUACUGUCUUAGUUGAUAUGUUCUGGCAUUUCAAUUUGGCUGUUGAAGAAAAGGAAUAUACCAAAUCAGAGGGAGCACUUAUUAUUGACAUGGAGGUGAAGCAAAAAGACCUUCGGAAAUAUGAUCAAGUGAGAACUUUAAUAGUUUCUUAUAAGAAACAAUCACAAUAUUAUUACAAUCUUUAAUGCCCUCAGUGCUUUUUUUCUACUUCAAGAGGAUUGUUAAUUCUCCUUUUGUUGAAUGCAAUAUUAAGCAUCUCAUGAUAAUUGCUUAAUAAUGAAGUUGGAUAGUAAUACAGUUCAGAUGUUUUUGGACAAAAUCUUCGAGAAUUAUAAUUCGUGGUCUAAAUACUUGUAUAUUCCAUCACAUCUAAAGUAAGUUGGUUGCUUUAUGUCCAUUUUAUCUCAAUCUUUUGUGUAGUAUUGUCUUAUAUGCCAUUCGAUGCUUUCAUACAUAAAUUUAAUUGUUUAAUUGCAGGUAUCCGAGGGAUGAAAAAACGCGACAAUCACAACUUCUUUACAUCACAUCAUGUUUUGGAUU